CUUGGUGCGAGGGAGAGUAAGCGCUCGGCACGCCGCAGCGAGUCACCGUGCACGGCAGAGGCUGUGACGGGCUCGGGCUGUGCGUGCUGGCUGUGCGGGGUAGUGCUGGGGUGCACUGAGAGCGCUUCUUUGGUGCUCCAGGUUAGGUGGGGAGCAGUGGAUUCAUGCUUCAGGUACCCCUCACUCCCCUGACACUCUUUACAAAAUAGCUUAACAGACUCAAGCUCUUUAUCUCCAAGGAACUUGGGGCUCGGUCUGGAAGCCUCAAGAUCUCUGGUAGAAGGGCAGCAGUGGGCAGCUUCUCCAGGGUCUGCCUGAGAUGGGAAGGAGCCUUCUGAAACGAGGACCUCCCACCUCUCUGUCCAGUUCCUCACAGAGCCAGAGAUUGUGAGACAUCCAGAUCCUUUCCUGACUUGCUAGAGACCGUCUGGAGCUUUGUCCUCCUUACCUGCAAUUUGGGUAUUUUGGAUUUUGCCUGUGCCCAGUUAAACCUUGACAAAUGCUUAGUGUUGCCCAUUUACCACAUUUGCAUUUCACUUACAGUCCUCUCUGAUGUCCGCAAGAGCCAAUAGCUUUGAGUCAUCUCUUAGAAAUGUUUGGUAUACUGCUUUUCUUUGUUUCCAGAUCACCAGUUCAUAUACUGAGCUAUCUGGGACCUGGAGGCAGCAUUUGUAUUCCCUACCCUUAACCUUCUGCCAGAAUGAAAAUCGAUCUUUGAAUCUUCCUUGCAGCUUCCUGCCUCCUCCUCGGGUUGCUGAUCCACAGAAAUACUUCACUCCUCUCAACAGGGCUCUGUUGCCUCCGGGCAGGUGCACUGAUGAGCCCACUCUCCAAAAUUCUGAA